rnacentral:rRNA from 1 species
AACGAACGCUGGCGGCAUGCCUAACGCAUGCAAGUCGAACGAGACCUUCGGGUCUAGUGGCGCACGGGUGCGUAACGCGUGGGAACCUGCCCUUAGGUUCGGAAUAACUCCCCGAAAGGGGUGCUAAUACCGGAUAAUGUCUUCGGACCAAAGAUUUAUCGCCUUUGGAUGGGCCCGCGUUGGAUUAGCUAGUUGGUAGGGUAAAAGCCUACCAAGGCGACGAUCCAUAGCUGGUCUGAGAGGAUGAUCAGCCACACUGGGACUGUGACACGGCCCAGACUCCUACGGGAGGCAGCAGUGGGGAAUAUUGGACAAUGGGCGAAAGCCUGAUCCAGCAAUGCCGCGUGAGUGAUGAAGGCCUUAGGGUUGUAAAGCUCUUUUACCCGGGAUGAUAAUGACAGUACCGGGAGAAUAAGCUCCGGCUAACUCCGUG